GUUUCAUUUUUCACGUCCCAUGCCUCAACACACACACAUUGCCACACAGAUCAUGGACUCUAAGCACUACAACAAUCACGUUUACCUGUACUAUCAUUCUGACUGCACACACCAGGAGUCAGUUACACACACGAGCUCCUUCCAUCGGUUCUUCGUGAUGUCCACACUCAUGUAGGUGUCCGUACCAGACAUUCUGACUCUGUACUGUUGUGUUCGUUAUGUUUCUUCUUUUAGCCCAAGGAACUGUUCAUGCACGUCAUCUGACACCGACAUGUUUGUCAAAUUCGAUUCUGCUUGGAUUUAUUUGCAAUGGUUUAAGCAGCGUAACCUGUAACCAGCACCUCCUCUGCCACCUGACUACAUGUGCAGGUUUUUAGUCUAGUCAAGCAGGAGCUGCACCUGAUUCCACCUGUUUAAUCAGCAGAUCUUAGCUUUAAAUAGACUCAGGUGUAGCAUCUGCUUGGUUGAAGUGAAAUCCUGCACCACACCUAAUAUUUCUACUUUUGACUUUUUCUGACUCUUUCCUAGAAAACUGUUCUGGAUCAGUUUAAGACAACAUACCUGCAAAAAAAGAAUUGGGCUUUUUACUCACCAGUGAACAAUAACCUCAUUCACACACCAUUUAUUUAUCACUACUAUUGCCUCAGAGCUCGGUGUCUCAGUCAGUCGAUGUUUCUUGAGAAAAACUGUAAGCCAAGACUGCAGGUAAAACUAUGGUGUGCGUUAAAAGAGGAUCCAAUCCGUGGCUGUCGCUGAAGCAGUGGAUCACAGGAUCAGGAGCACAGUUACAGCCGCCACAUGGCACGCAGCUGCCGGUACGGCCGGAGGGCAGCGUUUCUGAAGCACGUUGCUGAGAGAGAGCACCAGCUCCAUCAUGAAUCUGCCUCCUGCUCUUUUUACAACACAGCUCAGGGCCGUUUGUCAAGACGCUGGAGAGCGCCGGCGUUUAUUUUCCCCGCAAAUCACAUCGCUCUCUGUCUCAGUUCAGGCACGGAGAGAGGAAAGCCACCGCUUAAAGUUAUUCUCACUAAACUGUGACAGGAUUUACAGAGAAUGAGUUUAAAUGGGUUUAAAACAGACACGUCUUGUAUAAAUGUUAGCACAGUGCGGCAGAAGAAAGCGACGGGAGCUUAUCAGUGCCUUUGUGCUUUCUUAUGGAUUUUAGUUUUAUUAUUUUCAGCUUUUUAUAAAAUGAUUUUUUUAAUAAAGCCUUAUGGAAAUGAA